rnacentral:lncRNA from 1 species
AAAUAAUUUGUGGGAAAAAUACAAACUGUAAUGCCUUUUAGUUCACAUGACUAGUAAGCUGUGGGACAUAAAGACAUUUUUAAAGAUGAUUGGUUGUGCUCACUUUGGUAGCACAUAUAUUAAAAUUAGAAUGAUACAGAGAAAAUUAGCAUGGCCCCUGUGAAAAGAUGACAUGCAAAUUCAUGAAGCAUUCUAUAUUUUUUAGAAACAUGCCUGUUCUCACUGGUAAUUAGAGCGAAACAAACUUAAAAUGAGGUUUUUCUCCUCAUUAAACUGGCAAAAAUCUAAUAAAUUGCUAAUAUUCAUUGUUGGUUACGAUGUGGAGAAAUAAGCACUUUCAAAUACUGCUGGUAUAAAAGGCAAUUUGACAAUAACUACCAACUUUUAAAAUAUGAAUACUAUGAAUACCUACAAUUCCACUUCUAGGAACCUGUCUCAAAAUCAUCACAUAAUAUAUCCAGGAGAAAUUUCUAACAUUUCUGAUAGUAGAUAUAGAUUACCAUAUUUCUCAGCAUAAAUGUAGACUUCUUCUAUUUUGCUUAAAUAGAACAUAAUUUAAUAAUACUCCCUUAGAAUUCUGAGAGAAAGCUGUUAGAUUCAGACUAAAAAGUAAUAGUGUUUUUAACUUAUUACAGAUAGGUACAGAGCAGAGGUACUAUAUAAAGUACUUUACAGGAAAAAGUUUAUUUAAUCUUCGCAAUAAAAUGGUGAGCAAUUGGAGGCAAGGAAGAGUUAGAAGGAGUGCCAAGGUAAAUUGGUAAGUGGCUAAGUUGAUGUUCAUUCUUAAUAUUGGGGUUCACUGUGAGGUAGGAGUUCAGCAGGACUUGUUUCUCAAGACAUAGGUAACAGAGACCCCACUGAUAAAACAGGAUGUGGCAAAGAAGCCUGCUGAAGCCAGCCACAAUCAAGAAGACAACACUCAUUAUAAUUCACCAGCACCAUGACAAUUUACAGAUGCCAUGGAAACUCCUGGAAGUUACCCCAUAUUGUCUAAAAAGAGAAGAAAUUCUCAGUUCCAGGAAUUCCCAGCCCCUCUCCUGGAAAACUCCUGAAUAAUCUACCCCUUAUUUGGCAUUUAAUCAAGAAAUAAUCACUAAAAUAUCCAAGCCACAGUCCUUGGGGCUGAACUCGC